UGGAGACCAAAGACGCGCGGAGUUCGAUAGACUGCAAUCCCGAACUGACCCAUAACGUGUGAUUGUAUGCGCAUUCUGUAGCGCUGGCUUCCCGUCCAGGCUGUUCCCAUGCCCAUUACUGCCUGGGACAUGGGUCAGGUGCCCCGCGUCACUGUACUCAAUACUAAAAUGGGAAGCACCGUGAUGGACAGUAAGAAAACAGACAUGAAGAAAAAGGUCCCUAAGAAGAGGAGGUCGCUCCGGCUGAACAUGCCCGACCUAAGCUCCCUCACCAUGCCGUUCCUGGAGGGGGACACCGAUGACAAGGACAAGGACGGCCCGCACAAGGGGGUGCCCACAUGCCACUCAGCAAGCCCCACCAAGGGCUUCUUCACCCGUGGCCCCUUCAGCCGGCCUUCCAGCCCCAUGUCGGCCCCCGCCAGGUCCAGAGUCAGCCCAGGGUCACCCAAGACCAUCUUACCAUACCCCUUCUACCAGGACUCACCUCCCAAAUCCCCCCGUCGCAUGAGCUUCAGUGGGAUCUUCCGCUCCUCUUCCAAGGACUCCUCCUCCUCCGUCACCUCCACCUCUCCAGUCAGCAUCAAGCUCUUCUCUCGGGCCAGGAAAGCUUCUGGGCUCUCUUCCCCCCCUACGACACCCACCCAAGCAAACAAACAGCCCCCCUUCCCCCUGGAGGCUUACCAGAAUGAGCCAGAGCAGCGGGAGGCCCGGAUGCGCUCCUUCUCGUCGCCCCCGGAUACAGGCCAACGCUUCACACUGCUGUCCGCCAAACCCCCGACACCAGACUCAGCACCCGUCACUACCUCGCGACUCGUCCACGGAUCGGCUGAAGGCAUGCUGGAAAAGCUUGAACUGGAAGAUGAAGCUGUGGAAGAGUCAGAUAGCGAUAUUUACAUGCGCUUCAUGAAGUCCCACAAGUGCUACGACAUCGUACCGACCAGCUCCAAGCUGGUGGUGUUCGACACCACACUGCAGGUUAAGAAGGCCUUCUUCGCCCUGGUGGCCAAUGGCGUCCGCGCCGCUCCGCUCUGGGAGACAAAGAAGCAGAGUUUCGUAGGGAUGCUAACAAUCACAGACUUCAUCAACAUAUUGCACAGAUACUACAAGUCACCCAUGGUACAGAUCUACGAGCUGGAGGAGCACAAAAUCGAGACGUGGAGAGAGCUCUAUCUUCAGGAGACCUUCAAGCCUUUGGUGAACAUUUCCCCAGAUGCAAGCAUCUUUGACGCCGUGUACUCGCUAAUCAAAAAUAAGAUCCACCGGCUGCCCGUCAUUGACCCUGUGAGUGGGAACGCUCUGUACAUCCUCACACACAAGCGGAUCCUGAAGUUCCUUCAACUCUUCGUUUGCGAGAUGCCGAAACCCGCCUUCAUGAAGCAGACGCUACAGGAGCUGGGCAUCGGCACCUAUGAGAACAUCGCCUUCAUCCACCCUGACACGCCAAUCAUCAAGGCACUCAGCAUCUUUGUGGAGAGGAGGGUGUCUGCCCUGCCUGUGGUGGACGAGUCCGGCAAGGUUGUUGACAUUUAUUCAAAGUUUGAUGUCAUAAACCUUGCGGCUGAGAAGACCUACAACAACCUGGACAUCAGCGUGACACAGGCCCUGCAACACCGCUCGCAGUACUUCGAGGGUGUCAUGAAGUGCAACAGGCUGGAGACGCUGGAAACCAUCGUGGACCGCAUCGUGAAAGCCGAGGUCCAUCGGCUGGUGGUGGUGGACGAAAAGGCCAGAAUCGUGGGCAUUGUGUCCCUGUCGGAUAUCCUGCAAGCCCUCGUGCUCACGCCGGCAGGUAUAGACGCUCAGCAUUCCUGAACCUCUGGAAACCCGAACCGAGCUCCUCCCCCCUCCCCGACCCCUCCCCAUGGGUCCCCACAGGGGAGACAUGAAUAUGAAUUGCAGUGAGCUCGACCCACCACCCACGAAGACUUUGGGACAGUCUGAAGGUGCCAGCAGGAAGGGGAGCGAGGUGGAGUGAUAGACUGCUUUGACUUGAGUGACAUGUGAUGCUGCUGUGGGGGUGGGGGUGUCGAGGGUGGAGAC